CACCGGCAGCUCAAGUGGUGGCCAUUUUUAUUGGGUCUAAAGGGUCUGUAGCCGGCCGGAUAAGUCUCUUGAGAAAUCCAGCAGCUCAACUGUUGGGCUUUCAGGAGAUACUGUCUGGCUCGAGGCCGGGAGAGGUGAGAGGUACUUCAGGGGUAGGGGUGAAAUCUUGUAAUCCUUGAAGGACCACCAGUGGCGAAGGCGUCUCACCAGAACGGACCUGACGGCAAGGGACGAAAGCUAGGGGCACGAACCGG
rnacentral:rRNA from 1 species